rnacentral:rRNA from 1 species
CCUACGGGUGGCAGCAGUGGGGAAUAUUGCACAAUGGGCGCAAGCCUGAUGCAGCCAUGCCGCGUGUGUGAAGAAGGCCUUCGGGUUGUAAAGCACUUUCAGCGGGGAGGAAGGCGGUGAGGUUAAUAACCUCAUCGAUUGACGUUACCCGCAGAAGAAGCACCGGCUAACUCCGUGCCAGCAGCCGCGGUAAUACGGAGGGUGCAAGCGUUAAUCGGAAUUACUGGGCGUAAAGCGCACGCAGGCGGUCUGUCAAGUCGGAUGUGAAAUCCCCGGGCUCAACCUGGGAACUGCAUUCGAAACUGGCAGGCUAGAGUCUUGUAGAGGGGGGUAGAAUUCCAGGUGUAGCGGUGAAAUGCGUAGAGAUCUGGAGGAAUACCGGCGGCGAAGGCGGCCCCCUGGACAAAGACUGACGCUCAGGUGCGAAAGCGUGGGGAGCAAACAGGAUUAGAUACCCUAGUAGUC